rnacentral:ncRNA from 1 species
GAUAACUGGCUAAUGACUUUUAAGAUCUCUUAUUGAUGGAGUCAUUUGGCACAUUGAUGUUGACUCAUCACAUUCUAGGGUUGAAGAAGGUCCCAAGGGUUCAGUUGUUCGCUGAUGAAAGUGGUACAUGAGUUAGGUUUAGUACGUCGUGAGAUAGCUC